GACGAACGCUGGCGGCGUGCUUAACACAUGCAAGUCGAACGGUGAACCAGGGCUUGCCCUGGGGAUCAGUGGCGAACGGGUGAGUAACACGUGGGCAACCUGCCCCUGACUCUGGGAUAACUUCGGGAAACCGAAGCUAAUACCGGAUACGACCUCUGACGGCAUCGUCGGAGGUGGAAAGUUUUUCGGUCAGGGAUGGGCCCGCGGCCUAUCAGCUUGUUGGUGGGGUAAUGGCCCACCAAGGCGACGACGGGUAGCCGGCCUGAGAGGGCGACCGGCCACACUGGGACUGAGACACGGCCCAGACUCCUACGGGAGGCAGCAGUGGGGAAUAUUGCGCAAUGGGCGAAAGCCUGACGCAGCGACGCCGCGUGAGGGAUGAAGGCCUUCGGGUUGUAAACCUCUUUCAGCAGGGACGAAGCGAAAGUGACUGUACCUGCAGAAGAAGCACCGGCUAACUACGUGCCAGCAGCCGCUGUAAAAC
rnacentral:rRNA from 1 species